rnacentral:rRNA from 1 species
UACGGAGGGGGCAAGCGUUGUUCGGAAUUACUGGGCGUAAAGGGCGCGUAGGCGGCCAACUAAGUCGGACGUGAAAUCCCUCGGCUUAACCGGGGAAUGGCGUCCGAUACUGGAUGGCUCGAGUUUGGGAGAGGGAUGCGGAAUUCCAGGUGUAGCGGUGAAAUGCGUAGAGAUCGGGAGGAACAUCAGUGGCGAAGGCGGCCUUCUGGACCAGUACUGACGCUGAGGCACGAAAGCGUGGGGAGCAAACAGG